UGGGCGCAGGAAAUUUGAGAGGAGCUGUCCUUAGUACGAGAGGACCGGGAUGGACGCACCGCUGGUGUACCAGUUGUCUUGCCAAAGGCAUCGCUGGGUAGCUAUGUGCGGAAGGGAUAAGUGCUGAAAGCAUCUAAGCAUGAAGCCCCCCUCGAGAUGAGAUUUCCCAUCACGUAAGUGAGUAAGAUCCCUAGAAGAUGACUAGGUAGAUAGGUCAGAGAUGGAAGCAUGGCGACAUGUGGAGUUGACUGAUACUAAUCGAUCGAGGACUUAACCACAA
rnacentral:rRNA from 1 species